AGUGAACGCUGGCGGUAGGCCUAACACAUGCAAGUCGAACGGCAGCACAGUAAGAGCUUGCUCUUACGGGUGGCGAGUGGCGGACGGGUGAGGAAUACAUCGGAAUCUACUUUUUCGUGGGGGAUAACGUAGGGAAACUUACGCUAAUACCGCAUACGGCCUACGGGUGAAAGCAGGGGAUCUUCGGACCUUGCGCGAUUGAAUGAGCCGAUGUCGGAUUAGCUAGUUGGCGGGGUAAAGGCCCACCAAGUCGACGAUCCGUAGCUGGUCUGAGAGGAUGAUCAGCCACACUGGAACUGAGACACGGUCCAGACUCCUAAGGGAGGCAGCAGUGGGGAAUAUUGGACAAUGGGCGCAAGCCUGAUCCAGCCAUACCGCGUGGGUGAAGAAGGCCUUCGGGUUGUAAAGACCUUUUGUUGGGAAAGAAAAGCAGCAGGUUAAUACCCCGCUGUUCUGACGGUUCCCAAAGAAUAAGCACCGGCUAACUUCGUG
rnacentral:rRNA from 1 species